rnacentral:lncRNA from 1 species
CAUGUCGUUUCGAGGGUUCGGAAACGACGGGUGAGCGACAGUGGGUUCCGGUGUCGAAUUUGACACUUCCGAGAACCCGGAGCGGAACGAUUAUCCGACGAUAAUCGUUUCGAAGUAAGGAGGUGUGUUCACUGCCAUGUUACACGAAAAGUUGAGUUGGUGGCAGCGGGUGACUCAUAGAGCGAGUCGGUGAGUUCCGGGAUAGUUCGUGGGUCCCGGCAGAGUCCCAGUGUGACUUUCGGGACUUCCGGUGAGUUAUGGCAAUUGGUUUUGGAAAACCGAUUCCCGUAGGUUUAUUGGUAGGGAUUGUGAGUUAGUGGUUUGUGUUUGUGGGUUGGAUGCUAACCCGGUG